GACGAACGCUGGCGGCGUGCUUAACACAUGCAAGUCGAACGGAAAGGCCCUGCUUUUGUGGGGUGCUCGAGUGGCGAACGGGUGAGUAACACGUGAGUAACCUGCCCUUGACUUUGGGAUAACUUCAGGAAACUGGGGCUAAUACCGGAUAGGAGCUCCUGCUGCAUGGUGGGGGUUGGAAAGUUUCGGCGGUUGGGGAUGGACUCGCGGCUUAUCAGCUUGUUGGUGGGGUAGUGGCUUACCAAGGCUUUGACGGGUAGCCGGCAUGAGAGGGUGACCGGCCACCUGGGGACUGAGAGACGGCCCAGACUCCUACGGGAGGCAGCAGUGGGGAAUAUUGCACAAUGGGCGGAAGCCUGAUGCAGCAACGCCGCGUGCGGGAUGACGGCCUGCGGGUUGUAAACCGCUUUCGCCUGUGACGAAGCGUGAGUGACGGUAAUGGGUAAAGAAGCACCGGCUAACUACGUG
rnacentral:rRNA from 1 species